rnacentral:tRNA from 1 species
AGCUAAGAAGCGAUAACUCGCGUCAAGUUUCGGCCUUGAAGAAGGUACAAAGAUACCCUUAGUUU